rnacentral:rRNA from 1 species
CCUACGGUUGGCAGCAGUGGGGGAUAUUGCACAAUGGGGGAAACCCUGAUGCAGCGACGCCGCGUGGGCGAAGAAGUAUCUCGGCAUGUAAAGCCCUAUCAGCCGGGAAGAAGAAAUGACGGCACGUGAGUAACAAGCACCGGCUAAAUACGUGCCAGCAGCCGCGGUCAUACGCAGGGUGCAAGCGAUAUCCGGAUUUACUGGGUGUAAAGGGAGCGCAGGCGGCACGGUAAGCCGGAUGGGAAAGGCCGGGGCCCAAACGCGGGACUGCGUUGGGAACUGGCGGGCUGGAGUGCCGGAGAGGUAGGCGGAAUGCCUGGUGUAGCGGUGAAAUGCGUAGAUAUUAGGAAGAACACCGGUGGCGAAGGCGGCCUACUGGACGGUGACUGACGCUGAGGCUCGAAAGCGUGGGGAGCAAACAGGAUUAGAUACCCUGGUAGUC